CUUUUUCAUUUGACGCUCGGAUCUUUGUCAUUGAACGUGAUUCCUCACUUUCGUAAUCGUUAUUCUGUUGGAACAUCUGUGGAUACGAAAGUUUAUCAUUUGUUAUUGGUCCUAUUAUUAUUCAUGAGUUACGGACUUUGAAGGAGAAAAAGGGACGUAGCGGUAUGUGUUGGAACGGUAUGAGUGGAAUGGACUGGAAUGGGAUACGCUCAACGAUGCGAGAGAUGGAACAUUUCUACUUCUGAGAAGCCGCGUGUUAUGCGAUCGUUGCCCAUUCAAUGGCGUAGCCAUUGUAUGAUGCCGGGAAGAACUCCUACUCCGUCUCAGUUUGAAGAAACGAAAACUAACAGGAAAUAUAAUAUUUCUUCCUGAUUGUAAAAGUAUAACGACAAAGUAAAUCGAAAGUUCAUCGGUAAUCUUCUCCCGGAAAGAUAAGUAAAUUACGGAAGAAGCACACACGUUUAUCUUAUCAAAAUGAUGAAGUAUGAGAAUUGCGAGAGGAGAAGAAGAGCGGGUACAAAACGCGGCGCUCACUGUUCAAAGGCGUACACCACUAUGUGUAUAGUUGUGAAUCGGUGAAGUUCUGUCCCACUAUAAUGGGCCAGUGGCGGCGAGGUGAAACGGUUGGAGAGAUGUAGACGAUUUAAGUAGUUCACUUUUCUAUUGUUUUUGGUUCGUGUCGUUCAUUGAUCUAGUAUAAUGGAUGAAAGUGAUUACUUGAAAAUGAUCUAGCACUUGAUUAAUGUUUUAUUGGUAAGUUUAGUACGAAAAGUCUUUAAUAUGUUAUCUUUUGGACCGCAAAGUUCGCGCAAAGCCGUAUCGUAAAUCAAUACGUAUUACGGCGCCAGGAUCUAAAUACAACAUGAAUGGAAUGCAGUGAAACACGUUCCAGUUAUUUUUAGUCGAACAGAUUCGAAAAUACACCCACCCUGAAGUAAAUAUAACCGGAGAUGCGCGUACGGGAAUGCAGUGAGAACGGCACGCGAGCAGUCAGACACCUCACAGAUAUGUAAAUGCUAGUAUCAAGAAAUUGAUGGGGUGUGUUGAACGUACGAAUCUGCCUUAUCUCUUACAUUUCUUUUAUAAUAUAUAGGAAUAGAAUGAUUCGAGCAUAUAAGAUGUCCUCCGACAUAAAGUGGGUUAUUAUUUCAUACGCCAACGAUUACGAUUGAGGAGCACUUCUUUACUCAUUUUUUUUUCCAUUAUCAAUAUAUUAUAUAUAAAAAAAAGUUUCGCAAUAGUUAAUAAAUUUAAAUAAAUUUUAUCUUUUAAUGGCGAUAUCCCGAUAACUAUUACGAAUUUUGAAAUGAAAUUAACGAUAGAAAUAUCUGAAUUCUGCGUAUUAUUAAGUAUCUACGUAUAUAUAAAAAAGUAAUGUGAAAAUAUUGCAAAGCGUGAUAAUUUACAUAUUGAGUGGUCUGAAUUAAUAUCAAAGUUACUUCGAGAGAGGCCGGCCACCCUUAUCUUUUGUUUUCCAUAACGUACUCGUGGAAGUUCAACACCGGUAGCGUUUCACAUUCCACGACUGCAUUUCUGCAAUCCACCGGCGCCAAACUCACCGUCAACAACACGAAUAACUGUCGCAUUUAUUUUAACGCCAGGCUUAUAAAUUUCACCGCUGAUUUCAUCGUUCGCCCUCUCGAAAACAUUCCGCGAGCUUGAGAGAAGCGUUUGAUUUCGGGACGCUCCUUUGAUGGCAGACAAUGAUCAAGUCCUGUGUACGUUUUUAACGCAGACUUUCAUGAUACGUCAUUUUAUAUAUUUUUUAAGGAUAAGAGGGACAAAGGAAUAAUAAUAAUAAAAAUAAUAAUAAUUAUCGGUUUAAAUAUCAUUUAUUGUAUAUCUACUAUUUUACUAUAAAUAAUUCUAAUGCAGUUAUCACGAGAUAUUAUAUAUACAAAUUUAAUCUUAUCAUCUCUAUAUCUACGAAUUACGAUUAUAAUAAUUUACAGAGAUACGUUAUAACAAUACAAUAGAUUACAUUACAAUACAACGUUGCGUGUAUUUGUGUGCGUGCGUGUGUAUAUGUGUGUGGAUGUACGCAUACUUGGGAAUGUUCUUAUUUACAAACAGGACUUUGUCGAUGUACAACGACUUAUGCGAAAAUAACGCUCGAUAUUGUAGAAAUAAUAAUUUUCUUUUAUUUUUCUUUCAGGAGGACGUAAGUACUUAAAAGAACCAACGAGAACCCAAAAUAUACAACAUUUAAUCUAUUUUCUUAGUCAUAAUUCUUGAAAUCUUGAAGAACACUCACGAAUCGUUCGUACGAUCACUAAUCUGUGUGUUCUUUUGACAUGGACUCUUCAGGAAAAUAUCGAGCAGCAAUUUUCGAUCGAAACAAGCGUUAUUCCAUUAAUGACAACCACAAUGUUCAGCUAUCAUGUCCUCGUAUAUUUUCAGAGCAACGUUUUCGUUAUCGUUGUAGAAAAGCAUACUGGUGCUAGAUAGCUUCGUUGGUACACAGCAAGGCAUUUCAACGCCUUCCACCAAACCCAUCUUAUGAAUAAUACUUUGUACGGUGGCAUGAUUUGUUGGUUGUUGAUUUUGGCUCAGCGGUGGCUCGCAAAGACCUUUGCAAUGAUAUGCAGAGUAUCCUUUAGGCGCAAUUAUGUUUGAAGAUAGUCCAAUUUUUUCGAAAUCGACGUAAAGCUCGUGUCUCGAGCAGAUAGUCGUGUUUUUGUAACCCAACAAAACAUUUUGUUUUGUUGACCUUCUCGCUCUACGUUGAUUCCUGCUAGCUCCUCUUUGGGAGACCUUAUUUAAUUUCUCCCGAAGCAUGGCUCUCUUGUAAAUAUCCAUCGACGUUAAAACAUGCGUCGUCUUCGUUUUAUGCGAGAUAAUCUUCUUAGGACGUUCUCUGGUUAAUUUUGUAUCACGUCGGUCACGUUCUACGAAAUCUUCCCGCCAAGUUGAAUCUGACUCGUCCUGUUUUCUUUUCUCUCUUGAAAAAAAUUCUUUUUCGCGUCUUUUUAUUCCUGAUGUCCCUUCAACCUCGUCUCUCUGUCUUUCCUGUUUUUGAAGAUGCUCGUCAUAUUCUUCCUUCAAGUUAAUCUUAUCGUUUAUACCGUCAUAAAGUAAUUUAUCUUCGUCGAUAUUGUCAUUCCCAUAAGGAUAGUAAUCCGGAACGAUUUUCAUUCUAGGUCGUUGUUCUUUACCAUCGUCGUUAAAAAGAACCAAGAUCGGUUGCUUGUUAUGAUGAUAUUCAUUUCGUCGAGAAAACUCGAUGUUUACUUCAUCAUCAAACAAAGUCGUGACCGUCACCAAGAGACCAAGAUUUGGAUCACCGCUGAACCAGGAAAGUACAGCUUCUUUAACGUUAAACACCUGUGGAAUGGUGAUCAUAAAAACAUACCUGCCAACCUGAAGUAUGUAUUCCAGCAUAAUGAAUAUUGAGUAACUUGUGAAGAUUCGGUACAGCAAGACUUCUUUUCUCUAACACUUGAUAGACUCUUAUCUGAACAGAAGUGAUUAUCUUAUGAAAAGAGAAGAUUGAGGAAGGAAAUCGUUUGGAUGUCUGACGCUUACCGAAUAAUACGGCGACGUAAGCGUCAAAGGAUGCAUCGAUUUAGUUGGCGUUUUCUUUCUGUAAAGAUGUAACUCGGCUUCCAAAACCGAUUCGUUUUCUUCAAGGCCGGAUACAUUAAAGAAAUAAAAAUGAGGCAAGGAGGUAUCUACGGGUUAAAGUAAUUAGUCAUUAUUUUCUUCUAAAUAAAUUGUCACGUUAAAAGAGUGAUUUAAAUUAUAUAAAUGAUUAAAAUUAGUGAUUACUUGAAGUGAAAAGUAUAGUAAUUAAGAAUGGGAGAAUUGAAGAUGGAAAUAUAGAUAAUUUAUUAUAUACAAAUAUGAGAGAGAAAGAGAAAGAAGUUUGGGUAGAUAUUAAAGAAAAGAAUUUACUCUUUUCGAUGAAACUCCGUACGAUCUUAGCAUUAUAAGGAUUUCGUCCUCGUGUGACGCCUUUAUCAUCGGCGAUAAUAUUAUACAGUUCCAUCAUGAACUGAGGUGGUAUCUUACGAUGGGCUGAUAUUUCGCCCUGGCCACGUAUACCAAAGAUCUGUAAUAUUAUUAUAUUUGAUUAAUAUUUUGCACAAAAUAACACGUACACUCAGUUUUCAAUCGUCCUUUCAUAAAUUACUUCUCAACGACGUACGUGAAAAAACAUCGUUAGAAAUCGGAUACAAGACGGACCUUUUGCAACUUUUCCAACUCGUCUUGGUGUUUCUCGUUACCAAGCUCUUUUCCCUGAGUGAGUUCACUAUGCGACGAAGACGGACCCGUUCUUUCCUGACCUUUAUCAUCCUUGAGAAGAUCUGAGGGAUAUGCGUCCGCUUCAGGAAGAAGAUACGUCGACAAUGACAUCGCCGACAACACAAGCAAUAACGACAAUGCACUUCGCGUCUGCAUUGAUACGAUCUUGCGUUUGAUUAGAAAGAAAAAAGAAAUCGGGAAGCAAUCGAGUGCACUUUCUUUAAGGUGUCAAACAUGUACACCUAAAUCUUAUUCAAUGUUUUAGUCAGGUCUUCACGCGGGUGAGAUGUCCGCUAUAUUUUUCUAUUGGUAUCACAAAAUGUGAAGUGAGUCAUAUCAAUAGGAUCAUUUGAACAUUUUCGUUGUUUAUAAACGUAUAAAAAUUCUUUUUCUAUUAUUAUACAUUGGUCUAUUUGAAAGACGUCAAUUUUCUUCGACUGAGUCAAUUCUUCAACGUUCAUAAACAACGAAGAUAUUUUGAUGUUCCUAUCGAAAUGACUCACCCUUUAUGGUACUGUAUUAUGUGCGUAUGGUAUAAUAAUUAAUCGUAGACUUGGACACUUUAUCACGAACAAGAAAAAAAAAAAGACACUCUAUUUUCUAUGUGUCUCGUUUCGUCGAAGGAACGGAUAUCUCUGCUUUACCGGACACUUUGCCGAACUCAACGGGACGCUAAGUGGCAUAUGGAAGGUUUUCGCUGCGAGGAGUCACCUUUAUGCUAUGCCGGGAGUUCCUUCCCCCGCUUUACUCCCCGCUCGACAUUGGCGCU